rnacentral:piRNA from 1 species
UAAGGCUGAGGGCAUUUGGUUCCU